rnacentral:rRNA from 1 species
GAUGAACGCUAGCGAUAGGCUUAACACAUGCAAGUCGAGGGGCAGCAUGGUCUUAGCUUGCUAAGACUGAUGGCGACCGGCGCACGGGUGCGUAACGCGUAUGCAACUUGCCUCACAGAGGGGGAUAACCCGUCGAAGGACGGACUAAUACCGCGUACACUCCAUCUUGGGCAUCCAAGGUAGAGGAAAUGAAAUUCGCUGUGAGAUAGGCAUGCGUCCCAUUAGCUAGUUGGUGCGGUAACGGCUCACCAAGGCGACGAUGGGUAGGGGAACUGAGAGGUUGAACCCCCACACUGGUACUGAGACACGGACCAGACUACUACGGGAGGCAGCAGUGAGGAAUAUUGGUCAAUGGGCGAGAGCCUGAACCAGCCAAGUCGCGUGAAGGAUGACUGUCUUAUGGAUUGUAAACUUCUUUUAUACGGGAAUAACAAGAGUCACGUGUGACUCCCUGCAUGUACCGUAUGAAUAAGCAUCGGCUAACUCCGUG